rnacentral:tRNA from 1 species
GCCGCGUUAGCUCAGCUGGUAGAGCAACCGCCUUGUAAGCGGUAGGUCGCCUGUUCAAUUCAGGCACGCGGCA